UGAAAUGGUCACUUAGAGAAAAUUGGAAUGAUACAAAGAAGAUUAGCAUGGCCCUUGCACAAGGAUGACAUGUGCAAAUUGAGAAAUCCAAAUUCUUCUG